rnacentral:rRNA from 1 species
GAUGAACGCUGACAGAAUGCUUAACACAUGCAAGUCAUUGGCGAAGCUGCGCUUGCGCAGUCUAGCCAAGGCGGACGGGUGAGUAACGCGUAAGGAACUUGCCCUGCAGACAGGUAUAACAGACGGAAACGACUGAUAACACCUGGUAUUGUCAGGCUGGCGCAUGCCGGCCUGAUGAAAGGAGACGCUGCAGGAGAGCCUUGCGUCCUAUUAGCUAGUUGGUGGGGUAACGGCCCACCAAGGCGAUGAUAGGUAGCCGGCCUGAGAGGGUGAACGGCCACAAGGGGACUGAGAUACGGCCCUUACUCCUACGGGAGGCAGCAGUGGGGAAUAUUGGACAAUGGGGGCAACCCUGAUCCAGCAAUUCUGUGUGCACGAAGAAGGUUUUCGGAUUGUAAAGUGCUUUCAGCAGGGAAGAAGAAAGUGACGGUACCUGCAGAAGAAGCGACGGCUAAAUACGUG